AGGAGUUCCCUUCGGGGACGCUAAGACAGGUGGUGCAUGGCUGUCGUCAGCUCGUGUCGUGAGAUGUUGGGUUAAGUCCCGCAACGAGCGCAACCCUUGUUAUUAGUUGCCAGCAUUAAGUUGGGCACUCUAAUGAGACUGCCGGUGAUAAACCGGAGGAAGGUGGGGAUGACGUCAAGUCAUCAUGCCCCUUACGUCCUGGGCUACACACGUACUACAAUGGUAGGGACAGAGGGCAGCCAACCCGCGAGGGCGAGCUAAUCCCGUAAACCCUGCCUCAGUUCAGAUUGCAGGCUGCAACUCGCCUGCAUGAAGGCGGAAUCGCUAGUAAUCGCAGGUCAGCAUACUGCGGUGAAUCCGUUCCCGGGCCUUGUACAC
rnacentral:rRNA from 1 species